rnacentral:rRNA from 1 species
GAUGAACGCUGGCGGCGUGCCUAAUACAUGCAAGUCGAGCGAAGCGGGGACGGUUGAGUAACACGUGGAAAACCUCCUAUACGUCUGGGACAACUUCGGGAAACACUAGCUAAACGGGAUAUUUAUAGAUGGAUCCUCGCUGCAUUCGCUAGUUGGUAAGGUAACGGCUUACCAAGGCAACGAUGCAUAGCCGACCUGAGAGGGGGAUCGGCCACACUGGAACUGAGACACGGUCCAGACUCCUACGGGAGGCAGCAGUAGGGAAUCUUCCGCAAUGGACGAAAGCCUGACGGAGCAACGCCGCGUGAGUGAAGAAGGUCUUCGGAUCGUAAAACUCUGUUAUUAGGGAAGCGGUACCUAAUCAGAAAGCCACGGCUAACUACGUGCCAGCAGCCGCGGUAAUAC